GAAGAUCCGGCGCAGCUAAAGUCAGUGGAAGGUAGAAAGACGCCACAGCCGCCUUUCGACAACUUUUUGUUACAAAAGUGGAGAUCUACACGGAGGCGACGGCCUAGGUCGCUCUGACAGGACCCAACGACCCUCCUGACGCGUCCACCCGUCCUCGCUAGCAGGGUCCCCCAGCGGGCUCUCGACCUGCGCCACCAGAGUUCCACUCUUUUUGUCGACAAUAAUAUGGCGCCCAAACACGUGGGGCCUCAGAGAAGACUCUGGAUCCGGAAGGAGUAUCCCAAAACCAGAGCUAAGGUACCAGCUGGAGCCCACUGAAGCCUCACCGAGUUUGGGCUUCUCCUCCUGUGGAACUGGAAACCAAAAUCAUGGUAUUUUGAAAACCAGAGGUAUGAAUCUCCCUCGUUUGGCAUCCCACUGGGCCUGGACCUGUUUCACUGCUAAUGUUCUGCUGCCAAAACUAUACAAGCUGCCUGGACUAUUGCAGAAGAGGUGGGUGCAUAAGAUUGUAAGGACCGGCUUUCAGGGAAAAAAUUAGCUUAAGGUCAAACCCUCCAAAUCAAGAAAGGGGGUACAAAAAUGCCUAAACAGCAGGUAAAACAAGUUUAGUUGCCUUCUAAGCUAUUAUGUGUCACUUUUGCAUCCACCCCAACCAUAAAAAUUUUCUGCUUACUAUAGAAUUAAAGGAAAUUCUUUACUAACAGGAUAAAAAUAUUUUGUAACAAAGCCUCCUGGGUAUAAUACUACCAAUCAUGAGUUGUGAAGAUCGAUCGAUCUAUCUAUCUAUCUAUCUAUCUAUCUAUCUAUGUAACUAUAUUUUUCAGAAGAAUGCUUAUGUUUGGUAUAUAAGGCUAACUGUUACAAGUCUGUAACAAAAACCAAGCUCACAGUAGCUCAACACAUAGAAGUUAAAAAUAAGUCCGUCUUUUAACUUUUGUUUUGUUUUGUUUUGUUGUUGGCUUUUUUACUUAAAAUAAUAAUUUUACGAAGUAACAAGUGCCUGUCCACAUCCAUUCCUAUAUGGCUUAGAACAAUUAAUUGGCUAUAUGUCCUUUGUCUCUUAAGGCCCUUGGCCAUAGGGAGUCCUGCCAAGGGACAAAAACAACAACAACAACAACAACAACAAAAACACAAAAAACCACUGUAGAAUUAUUUGACUUCUCCUGUGACAAAACUUCCUCUUCUCUCCCAAAUACCAGUCAGUAUAUGGUGCAAUACAAAAAUGGUAGGAAAAAUAGAUUUGUCUACUGUUAACAAGUUUAUAACAAUUUAGACACUGAGGACCAGGCAUUCCU
rnacentral:lncRNA from 1 species